rnacentral:rRNA from 1 species
AGUUUGAUCCUGGCUCAGAUUGAACGCUGGCGGCAGGCCUAACACAUGCAAGUCGAACGGUAAAGAAGCUUGCUUCUUACGAGUGGCGGACGGGUGAGUAAUGUCUGGGAAACUGCCUGAUGGAGGGGGAUAACUACUGGAAACGGUAGCUAAUACCGCAUAACGUCGCAAAACCAAAGAGGUUCGUCUUGCCAUCGGAUGUGCCCAGAUGGGAUUAGCUAGUAGGUGGGGUAACGGCUCACCUAGGCGACGAUCCCUAGCUGGUCUGAGAGGAUGACCAGCCACACUGGAACUGAGACACGGUCCAGACUCCUACGGGAGGCAGCAGUGGGGAAUAUUGCACAAUGGGCGCAAGCCUGAUGCAGCCAUGCCGCGUGUAUGAAGAAGGCCUUCGGGUUGUAAAGUACUUUCAGCGGGGAGGAAGGGAGUAAAGUAAUCUUUGCUCUUGACGUUACCCGCAGAAGAAGCACCGGCUAACUCCGUGCCAGCAGCCGCGGUAAUACGGAGGGUGCAAGCGUUAAUCGGAAUUACUGGGCGUAAAGCGCACGCAGGCGGUUUGUUAAGUCAGAUGUGAAAUCCCCGGGCUCAACCUGGGAACUGCAUCUGAUACUGGCAAGCUUGAGUCUCGUAGAGGGGGGUAGAAUUCCAGGUGUAGC